rnacentral:rRNA from 1 species
UACGGGGGGGGUAAGCGUUGUUCGGAAUUACUGGGCGUAAAGGGCUCGUAGGCGGCCAACUAAGUCAGACGUGAAAUCCCUCAGCUUAACUGGGGAACUGCGUCUGAUACUGGAUGGCUUGGAUUCGGGAGAGGAAUGCGGAAUUCCAGGUGUAGCGGUGAAAUGCGUAGAUAUCUGGAGGAACACCGGUGGCGAAGGCGGCAUUCUGGACCGACAUUGACGCUGAGGAGCGAAAGCCAGGGGAGCAAACGG